GGGGAAUAUUGGACAAUGGGGGGAACCCUGAUCCAGCCAUGCCGCGUGUGUGAAGAAGGCCUUCGGGUUGUAAAGCACUUUUGUCCGGAAAGAAAUCGCACUUACUAAUAUUAGGUGUGGAUGACGGUACCGGAAGAAUAAGGACCGGCUAACUACGUGCCAGCAGCCGCGGUAAUACGUAGGGUCCAAGCGUUAAUCGGAAUUACUGGGCGUAAAGCGUGCGCAGGCGGUUGUGCAAGACCGAUGUGAAAUCCCCGGGCUUAACCCAUAUCAGCGUUCAAAACUGCUUUUCUUGAGUGAAGUAGAGGUUGGCGGAAUUCCUAGUGUAGCGGUGAAAUGCGUAGAUAUUAGGAGGAACACCAGUGGCGAAGGCGGCCAACUGGGCUUUUACUGACGCUGAGGCUCGAAAGCGUGGGGAGCAAACA
rnacentral:rRNA from 1 species